GAUGAAGAACGUAGCGAAAUGCGAUAAGUAGUGUGAAUUGCAGAAUUCAGUGAAUCAUCGAAUCUUUGAACGCACAUUGCGCCCCUUGGUAUUCCAUGGGGCAUACCUGUUCGAGCGUCAUUUGUACCUUCAAGCUCUGCUUGGUGUUGGGUGUUUGUCUCGCCUCUGCGUGUAGACUCGCCUCAAAACAAUUGGCAGCCGGCGUAUUGAUUUCGGAGCGCAGUACAUCUCGCGCUUUGCACUCAUAACGACGACGUCCAAAAGUACAUUUUUACACUCUUGACCUCGGAUCAGGUAGGGAUACCCGCUGAACUUAAGCAUAUCAAUAAGCGGAGGA
rnacentral:misc_RNA from 1 species